rnacentral:rRNA from 1 species
UACGAAGGGUGCUAGCGUUGUUCGGAAUUACUGGGCGUAAAGCGCGCGUAGGCGGCUUAACAAGUCAGGGGUGAAAUCCUGGGGCUCAACCCCAGAAUUGCCUUUGAAACUGUUAAGCUUGAGUGUCGGAGGGGAUAGCGGAAUUGCUAAUGUAGAGGUGAAAUUCGUAGAUAUUAGCAGGAACACCGGUGGCGAAGGCGGCUAUCUGGACGACAACUGACGCUGAGGCGCGAAAGCCAGGGGAGCGAACGGG